GCAAAUGCCAAUGUUUUUGUAUGCUUGUUUUUAUGCAAUAUUUUUUUAAGCAAAUUGCAUAAAAACAAGCAUACAAAAACAUUGGCAUUUGC
rnacentral:miRNA from 1 species